rnacentral:lncRNA from 1 species
CCCAACUCCACGCUCCCAGUUCCUUCCGCGUCCGAGUACUCUGCGAUCAUCCUUAUCCCAGCAUCUUCUUCUCUUCCACUGCAUCCACGUCAACAGGCAUCCUUCAUUCAUUCCAUCUUCCCGUGUCAUAGCUUCCGAUCCAUAUUCCUAGAUUUCAUGGAAACAAACAGAGCAAGGGAGCUUGAUCUCUAACAUUCACGGAUUAAAACUCCCCAUCCGCGAUCAUCUCCCAGCGUUUGUUCCUAGCAACCCGAGCUUCACGUGCUCUUCCCCUGUUUCGGAACCAAUGCCAGCCAAAACCGAACCUCCACAUCCAAGGAACAGAGCCGUUGGAAAGCUCAAUCCCAUCUUCCCCGUGAUCCACUCAUCUCCCAGGUCUCCCACGAACAGAAUCAAACCAGCCAUUCCCAGCUCAUUCCUCUCGUGUCUUCAUCUCCAAAGCUUUCGGAACAACUCCAUCCUUCCAUUCUCCCGAGCUUCACGGCAUCCCCUGCAUCCCAUACCGACUAAUCCUUAAUCAACCAAAUCCCAAACAACCACUCCCAGAACC